GNAUUGUCAGGCCUAACACAUGCAAGUCGAGCGGGGAAAGGUAGCUUGCUACCUGACCUAGCGGCGGACGGGUGAGUAAUGCUUAGGAAUCUGCCUAUUAGUGGGGGACAACAUUCCGAAAGGAAUGCUAAUACCGCAUACGCCCUACGGGGGAAAGCAGGGGAUCUUCGGACCUUGCGCUAAUAGAUGAGCCUAAGUCUGAUUAGCUAGUUGGUGGGGUAAAGGCCUACCAAGGCGACGAUCUGUAGCGGGUCUGAGAGGAUGAUCCGCCACACUGGGACUGAGACACGGCCCAGACUCCUACGGGAGGCAGCAGUGGGGAAUAUUGGACAAUGGGCGAAAGCCUGAUCCAGCCAUGCCGCGUGUGUGAAGAAGGCCUUUUGGUUGUAAAGCACUUUAAGCGAGGAGGAGGCUACUUGGAUUAAUACUCUAGGAUAGUGGACGUUACUCGCAGAAUAAGCACCGGCUAACUCUGUGCCAGCAGCCGCGGUAAUACAGAGGGUGCGAGCGUUAAUCGGAUUUACUGGGCGUAAAGCGUGCGUAGGCGGCUUCUUAAGUCGGAUGUGAAAUCCCUGAGCUUAACUUAGGAAUUGCAUUCGAUACUGGGAAGCUAGAGUAUGGGAGAGGAUGGUAGAAUUCCAGGUGUAGCGGUGAAAUGCGUAGAGAUCUGGAGGAAUACCGAUGGCGAAGGCAGCCAUCUGGCCUAAUACUGACGCUGAGGUACGAAAGCAUGGGGAGCAAACAGGAUUAGAUACCCUGGUAGUCCAUGCCGUAAACGAUGUCUACUAGCCGUUGGGGCCUUUGAGGCUUUAGUGGCGCAGCUAACGCGAUAAGUAGACCGCCUGGGGAGUACGGUCGCAAGA
rnacentral:rRNA from 1 species